rnacentral:tRNA from 1 species
UGGACCAGCUAGGACUCGAACCUAAGACCUUCCAUACGUUGUUGGAAUGCUCUACCACUGAGCUACUAGCCC